rnacentral:rRNA from 1 species
UACAGAGGUCUCAAGCGUUGUUCGGAUUUAUUGGGCGUAAAGAGCUCGUAGGCGGCUUGUCGCGUCGACUGUGAAAUCCCGCGGCUCAACUGCGGGUCUGCAGUCGAUACGGGCAGGCUAGAGUUCGGUAGGGGAGACUGGAAUUCCUGGUGUAGCGGUGAAAUGCGCAGAUAUCAGGAGGAACACCGGUGGCGAAGGCGGGUCUCUGGGCCGAUACUGACGCUGAGGAGCGAAAGCGUGGGGAGCGAACAGG